GAUGCGACUACUCGCUGUUCAUUCAAAUGUCCUGAGGGCUUCCCCAAAGCGUUGUUUGAAAGAAGCCCUGGCUACAAAAGUUGGAAAAUGCUUCCUGAAGGUUCUCGUCUGGAGCGUUCCUUUAGUUGCCUGCGCCCACUGAAGAACUCGGUGAGAACAGCGUCGAAGUCAUCCCUCAAGGUGUACGAAGGCAGGCAAGACGAAUCCGAAAAAGUGCUUAUAGUUGAAGAUGGCCACGCCCUGAACCUAAGAAAGUCUUCUGUGCUAGCUAAGAAGUCUUUUACUUCGAGACAUAACUGAAGAAGGUGUUCACGAGCAAUAUGUUGAUGGCGCCCACUAUCAAGCGAAUUUAUACGAAGAUACAAGCAAGAAAGCUUCGUUGUUCAUUGAACCUCUACCAGGAGGAGAUUACCAUAUUGUUGGCCUGCUGAAUCAUACUCACCGAAUCGAACCUCUGGUAUCUAUGGAAAGAUCCGGAAGAACCGUGCACGAGGUGACACAGCUUGCUAACAACAAUGGAGCAUGCGAUCCCAUUGGAGUAGUUGGUGA